rnacentral:rRNA from 1 species
ACGGGUAGCCGGCCUGAGAGGGUGACCGGCCACACUGGGACUGAGACACGGCCCAGACUCCUACGGGAGGCAGCAGUGGGGAAUAUUGCACAAUGGGCGCAAGCCUGAUGCAGCGACGCCGCGUGAGGGAUGACGGCCUUCGGGUUGUAAACCUCUUUCAGCACGGAAGAAGCGAAAGUGACGGUACGUGCAGAAGAAGCGCCGGCUAACUACGUGCCAGCAGCCGCGGUAAUACGUAGGGCGCAAGCGUUGUCCGGAAUUAUUGGGCGUAAAGAGCUCGUAGGCGGUUUGUCGCGUCUGCUGUGAAAGCCCGGGGCUUAACCCCGGGUGUGCAGUGGGUACGGGCAGACUUGAGUGCAGUAGGGGAGACUGGAACUCCUGGUGUAGCGGUGAAAUGCGCAGAUAUCAGGAAGAACACCGAUGGCGAAGGCAGGUCUCUGGGCUGUUACUGACGCUGAGGAGCGAAAGCAUGGGGAGCGA